ACCGUAAAAGUGAAAAAAUUUUAGUUUUGAUUAUGAGGUUUUAGGUGAAAAGAAAAAUUUUCUUUUAAGGUAAAAUUAGGAGAGAGUAUUUUUUUCAAAAGAUAAAACUUUAGAAAUUUAAAAGUGAAACUAGGAUUAGAUACCCUAUUAUUAUUAUAGAAAAAGAAAUUAGGUAGUAUUAGAAGGCUUGAAACUUAAAGAAUUUGGCGGUGUUUUAAUCUUAUCAGAGGAACUUGUGUUGUAAGUCGAAAUUACUCGUUUUAUCUCACUUAAAUUAUGUUUGUAUAUCGUCGUAAAAAUAAAACUUUAAAGUGGAUAUUUAAAAUCAUUUAAUGAAGUAUUACAGAUCAAGGUUCAGCUAUAUUUAAGAAAACAUGAGUUACAAUGUCCGAAGACAAAAUGGAUAAGUUCUUGAAAAAAACAUUUGAAGGUGAAUUUGAAAGUAUAUUAGAAAUAAUAAGUU
rnacentral:rRNA from 1 species